AUUGAACGCUGGCGGCAGGCCUAACACAUGCAAGUCGAGCGAGCGGCGGACGGGUGAGUAAUGUAUGGGGACUGCCCGAUCGAGGGGGAUAACUACUGGAAACGGUAGCUAAUACCGCAUACUAUCGGAUACCCCAUAUGGGAUUAGCUUGUUGGUGGGGUGAUGGAGAAACAAGGCGAGGAUCUCUCGCUGGUUUGAGAGGAUGAUCAGCCACACUGGGACUGUGGAACGGCCCAGACUCCUACGGAGGCAGCAGUGGGGAAUAUUGGACAAUGGGCGAAAGCCUGAUCCAGCAAUACCGCGUGUGUGAAGAAGGCCCUAGGGUUGUAAAGCACUGUUGUUAGGGAGAUGUUACCUAAAGAAUAAGCACCGGCUAACUCCGUGCCAGCAGCCGCGGUAAUUC
rnacentral:rRNA from 1 species